rnacentral:rRNA from 1 species
AAAGCGUGCGCAGGCGGUUAUGUAAGACAGAUGUGAAAUCCCCGGGCUCAACCUGGGAACUGCAUUUGUGACUGCAUGGCUAGAGUACGGUAGAGGGGGAUGGAAUUCCGCGUGUAGCAGUGAAAUGCGUAGAUAUGCGGAGGAACACCGAUGGCGAAGGCAAUCCCCUGGACCUGUACUGACGCUCAUGCACGAAAGCGUGGGGAGCAAACAGGAUUGGAUACCCUUGU